rnacentral:rRNA from 1 species
UACGUAGGGUGCAAGCGUUGUCCGGAAUUAUUGGGCGUAAAGAGUUCGUAGGCGGUUUGUCGCGUCGUUUGUGAAAACUCACAGCUCAACUGUGAGCCUGCAGGCGAUACGGGCAGACUAGAGUACUGCAGGGGAGACUGGAAUUCCUGGUGUAGCGGUGGAAUGCGCAGAUAUCAGGAGGAACACCGGUGGCGAAGGCGGUUCUCUGGGCAUUACCUGACGCUGAGGAGCGAAAGUGUGGGGAGCGAACAGG